GGCAGUGUGGCAUAGUGGUCUCAGUGUUGGACUAGGAUUCCGGAGACCAGGGCUCAAUUCCCGCUCAGCCA